rnacentral:rRNA from 1 species
AGCGAACGCUGGCGGCAUGCUUAACACAUGCAAGUCGCACGGGCAGUUUCGGCUGUCAGUGGCGGACGGGUGAGUAACGCGUAGGUAUCUAUCCUUGGGUGGGGGACAACCGUGGGAAACUACGGCUAAUACCGCAUGACAACUGAGGUUUAAAGGCGCAAGUCGCCUGAGGAGGAGCCUGCGUACGAUUAGCUAGUUGGUGGGGUAAAGGCCUACCAAGGCUGCGAUCGUUAGCUGGUCUGAGAGGAUGAUCAGCCACAUUGGGACUGAGACACGGCCCAAACUCCUACGGGAGGCAGCAGUGGGGAAUAUUGGACAAUGGGCGCAAGCCUGAUCCAGCAAUGCCGCGUGUGUGAAGAAGGUCUUCGGAUUGUAAAGCACUUUCGACGGGGACGAUGAUGACGGUACCCGUAGAAGAAGCCCCGGCUAACUUCGUGCCAGCCGCCGCCGUAACAC